UGUAUCAUCAAAGACUGCAGGCUAGCAGAUCAGGUUGACAUUGGAAAAACUAAAUCAUGAAUCAAAUACUUGUGAUUCUGUGCAUAUUUGCCGUAUCUUAUAAUGUUGUACUUGUUAAGGCGAGACCAAGUCCAGAAGUUGUAGCCAACAAUGAAACCCAAUGGGAAGUUGUCGCCAACAAUGAAACUCAAUGGGAAGUGACUGACAACGCCACUGACUUUUAUUCGGUAAAU